AAGUCGUAACAAGGUUUCCGUAGGUGAACCUGCGGAAGGAUCAUUAAAAGAUUUUUGGUAUAAUUUUUUGGGGUCAAUUGAUCUCAAAAAAUAAUUCACCUUUUGUGCAUUGUUAUUAAGAUAUACUUUGGUUAGAGCUUUGACAUUAAGUCAACUUCUUGCUAACUCUAUCCUUUAAAGGACAGUUGGCUAUGAAGCGUGCCUACCAAGGUUUUUUAUCAAACUCUUUGUAUUUUGUCUGACCUAAAUAAAUAAUUAAUAAUUAAAUCAUAACUUUCAACAACGGAUCUCUUGGCUCUC
rnacentral:misc_RNA from 1 species